GUUGGGGGCAGGUGGUGGCUCCCUGGCGACAAAGGCAUGGGUGUGGAGGUUAGGGCUGGGGAGAAAGGAGAGCUGGUAGCCUUUUCCUUUUGUUUUGUGUCAUUUACGUACCAUAAAAUGCACACGUUAGUGUAGAAUUCAGUGGCUAUUAGUGCGUUCACAGAGUUGUAAAACAUCACUGCAAUCUCGUUUUAAGUGACUGGUUGAGCUUCUGUGAGGCUGAGGAUGCAGACCAGGCCUCCGGGCUGGUGAGGACUGGACUUCCUGACUGUUCCUCUGCAGACUGGCAAGCCCGUUUGUGCCCUGCUCCGCACUGGGGGCCUGGCAGAGAAGAGGGGCUGGAGCCCAGUGGGGUUUACCAGCAUCUUCACCAAGCGCUGUGCCCAGGAAUGAGGUGCUGUUCCUGGCCGCACGUCUGGGGGACGCUGCCUUCGAAUCCACUCACAGUCAGCAGGUUUCAGUCCUUGAGGAGCGCUCACUAGGAUGGUAAUUGUUUGAUCGAUAGAUUAAGUGAGUUGGAAGACUCUCCAAGUGAAAAUUUAAAAUUACUGCAGUUUUGGCCUGAUGAUGUUAACCAGCAAGAACAGAAUCUGAAACCAGAUGAGCUGUUAGUACUGCUUUCAUCUGUUUUACAGCCACAGCGACAGCAGUUCCCUGGCUUCUGGAAGGAGUGUCGGUCUAUCCAAAAAAUGUACUAACAGAUAUGUAAAAAGUCGAAGGCUGAAUUUGGACCUGCUUUUCCUGUAUUUUCUCA
rnacentral:lncRNA from 1 species